GCUAGGGAUGUACCACCUCAGCUCCUUGAAGUCUUUGUGUGGUAUUUCAGAAAUUGGCUCCAUGCUGCUUCUAACCUCCCCCUGCACACAUGCAGCCCACCCCCCAGAUAUCAGGCUCUUAUUUGAUCUUGUGCUACAAUAAAAUGGUGUUUUGGUUCUAAUUAAUGUUGCAGAAAGGGAAAAAUGACCAUUUGGUCUCUGUGGGAGCCUGACUUGGCUGCAGAGUGAGGACGACAUCUAAGACAGAGGAUCCUGGCUGCAAUGGGGGGAGUCAAGGUCAGCUCCUGAAAUGGAACUGGGGACUAAGCACCCCCUGAAAUAAAAGCACCUGAAUAUGUGUGGGCUGUAGGGUUCUCUCACACCCUAGCUGUAAAAUGCACUAAAAAUCAUAACGCCCCAGUAGCCACAGAGCCUAUGAAAAACUUUCAAAUACACACAUAGUGACAGCCAUGAAAGUACCUAAAUAAUUCCUCUCUCAGCUUUCUGUGUUCUCCCAUCCACUCCCCACCUCUUGCUGUCACUGCGGUCGAUAGCUGCUGAAAAAACCUUGUCCGAUUCCUGCAUCUGGUGCCUAACAUACAGGCCAGCACCACUGUGAAGGAGAGACCACUGCUGCUCGUGUAAGCUGUCCUGUGUGUUGGCAGGGCUCUGAGUUUGAGAACAGAGUGAUGUAUUUUAGCUCUUGUGAAAUUUCUGAAUAAUCAGCUCAUCAAAAAAUACCAUGCAGAGUUCCCUUGUAGUCCUCUCCAACUUGCCACCUCUCCUGCCAAUAGCUCUGUAGGGUGACCACAGCUUGGCAUAGCCCAUUAGCAGAGCUCUUCACAAUCACUCAUGAAUAGAACUGGCUGGAAAAUACAAUUUUCCUUCUUAACAGAAAGAAAGAUUUGGUGGGGCAAGGGGGGAUAUUUGGCUUGGCAUUUCAGCAUGAAGAUUUUCCCCACUGCUCCCUUCAGCACCUUCUUCUGCUCCUCCCUGCACCCCACCAGUUUUCCUCCCUACCUCAUUUUUUAGAAGGUGGAAACAAGAAUAUAAAAAUUGCC
rnacentral:lncRNA from 1 species